rnacentral:rRNA from 1 species
AUAUGUAGGUGGCAAGCGUUGUCCGGAUUUAUUGGGCGUAAAGCGAGCGCAGGCGGUUUCUUAAGUCUGAUGUGAAAGCCCCCGGCUCAAACGGGGAGGGUCAUUGGAAACUGGGAGACUUGAGUGCGGAAGAGGAGAGUGGAAUUCCAUGUGUAGCGGGGAAAUGCGUAGAUAUAUGGAGGAACAACAGUGGGGAAGGUGAAUCUCGAGUUUGUGACUGACGCUGAGGCUCAAAAGGGUGGGUAGAAAACAGGAUUAGAUGCCCUGGUGGCCCACGCCGUUAGCGAUGAGUGCUAAGUGUUGUAGGGUUUCCGCCCUUCAGUGCUGCAGCUUACGCAUUAAGCACGCCGCCUGGGGAGUACGCCCGCAAGGUUGAAGCUGCCUUGGUUGA